rnacentral:rRNA from 1 species
AUUGAACGCUGGCGGCAGGCCUAACACAUGCAAGUCGAGCGAGCGGCGGACGGGUGAGUAAUGUCUGGGAAACUGCCUGAUGGAGGGGGAUAACUACUGGAAACGGUAGCUAAUACCGCAUACCAUCAGAUGUGCCCAGAUGGGAUUAGCUAGUAGGUGGGGUAACGGCUCACCUAGUCGACGCUCCCUAGCUGGUCUGAGAGGAUGUCCAGCCACACUGGAACGGAGACACGGUCCAGACGCCUACGGUAGGCAGCAGUGGAGAAUAUUGCACAAUGGGGGCAAGCCUGAUGCAGCCAUGCCGCGGGUAUGAAGAAGGCCUUCGGGUUGUAAAGUGCUUUCAGCGGGGAGGCGUUACCCGCAGAAGAAGCACCGGCUAACUCCGUGCCAGCAGCCGCGGUAAUUC